rnacentral:rRNA from 1 species
GAGUUUGAUCUUGGCUCAGAUUGAACGCUGGCGGCAUGCCUUACACAUGCAAGUCGAACGGUGACAGGUCUUUGGAUGCUGACGAGUGGCGAACGGGUGAGUAAUACAUCGGAACGUGCCCGAUCGUGGGGGAUAACGAAGCGAAAGCUUUGCUAAUACCGCAUAAGAUCUACGGAUGAAAGCAGGGGACCGCAAGGCCUUGCGCGAACGGAGCGGCCGAUGGCAGAUUAGGUAGUUGGUGGGAUAAAAGCUUACCAAGCCGACGAUCUGUAGCUGGUCUGAGAGGACGACCAGCCACACUGGGACUGAGACACGGCCCAGACUCCUACGGGAGGCAGCAGUGGGGAAUUUUGGACAAUGGGCGAAAGCCUGAUCCAGCCAUGCCGCGUGCAGGAUGAAGGCCUUCGGUUGUAAC